rnacentral:rRNA from 1 species
GACUCUCGGCAACGGAUAUCUCGGCUCUCGCAUCGAUGAAGAACGUAGCGAAAUGCGAUACCUGGUGUGAAUUGCAGAAUCCCGUGAACCAUCAAGUCUUUGAACGCAAGUUGCGCUCGAGGCCACUCAGCCGAGGGCACGCCUUCCUGGGCAUCA